rnacentral:lncRNA from 1 species
GGGAACAAAAUAAUGGUCCAGUUGCAGACGACUUUGAGAAAUCCACUACUGCCGAAAACAACAUUUUUUGCUUAUCAUUUACCGGAGAUUUUUCUCAUGAGUUAACAUGAAAAUUUAACAAGUUUUGCAAGUAAAAUAAUUUCCAAUUUCCAUAUGAAUUCGACUACAAAUAGAAUUAACGGAGAACAUAACAAAAAAAGAAACAUUGUUGCCUUUUUGUCCGGGCGUUCUACGUUCGAAUCUCAACACUACCAAUAUUUAUUUUUUUUUUUCAUUUUUUUUUACUUGUAUCAUUAUAUCAUUUUAUUUUCUUCAAAAAAGAAAGCAAAGCAGAAAAAUGCUCGAGUUCAUGAUAUAAUAGCCAGCAAUUUAGUCUGAUUUCUAAACAUAAAGUCUUAGUCACUUCAGAUGGUAUGCAACAGAUUUUUAUUCCCAAGUUUGAGCCUCAUUCAAUUUUUUUUUGCCUUGGAAUCAUUUUUUCAAUAUGGGACGACAUCAAAAGAUCAAUGAAGUAUAGCAAACUUAUAUCAAAUAACUUGGGGGAAUGAUAAAAUGGCUGCUAUUUUUGUUUCUUUGACUUCGAUUUAACAUGUAUCCCUAUUGGUCAAUCAUUUUUUCCCAAAUUAAGUUAAGGGAGUUUUGGGGGGGGGGGGAAUCAGUGGAAAAACUAUGUGAAUUUUUAUCCUACAUUGAACUUUUGAUUUCGUCCCUGAGAGAAGUUGAAUAGAAGUCAUUUGAAGAAAUAAUAUUACAGCCGAUUUCAUUGAGUGUGUAGCCAAAGGUAACAGUGGCGGAUCCAGGGGCUGGGGGUCUGGGGGUUUGAAUCCCCUUUUUUUGGACGAUCAAUGCAUUUGAAAAGAGGAUAGUACACCUGACCUAAUAAUGACUGAAUGGUUCAGCUAACAAGCAAGCUUACCAAAGAUAUUACCUGUGCCUACACACUCAACGAAAUCGCCUAUAAAGGGAGUUCAUAUAUAAAUUGUAGAUAUAACAGUGGUUUCAGACAUUCACGAAAU